AUUGAACGCUGGCGGCAGGCCUAACACAUGCAAGUCGAACGAGUGGCGGACGGGUGAGUAAUGUCUGGGCAACUGCCUGAUGGAGGGGGAUAACUACUGGAAACGGUAGCUAAUACCGCAUACCAUCGGAUGUGCCCAGAUUGGAUUAGCUAGUAGGUGGGGUAAAGGCUCACCUAGGCGACGAUCCCUAGCUGGUCUGAGAGGAUGACCCGCCACACUGGAACUGAGACACGGUCCAGAAUCCGACGGGAGGCAGCAGUGGGGAAUAUUGCACAAUGGGCGAAAGCCUGAUGCAGCCCUGCCGCGUGUAUGAAGAAGGCCUUCGGGUUGUAAAGCACUUUCAGCGGGGAGGCGUUACCCGCAGAAGAAGCACCGGCUAACUCCGUGCCAGCCGCCGCGGUAAUAC
rnacentral:rRNA from 1 species